CCUGAUUUCUGGUGUGCAAAAUAAAAUUGUGCACACCCAAAGUCUCCUGACAUUAGAAAACCCCCCUAAUCCAAAGUGUAAAUAGUCUGGGUGCACUGUAACCGCCUUUUAAUUCAGGAGAUCCAGCUUGGUGUUUCGGUGUAGGCUUUGCAAUUCUUCGUUAAGGUAAUAGACCCGAAUUGUGUCUCUGUGUUCCCUCUAUAUACUUUAUUUAUUGAAGAUUUGUAAUGUGCAG